rnacentral:rRNA from 1 species
AGUGAACGCUGGCGGUAGGCCUAACACAUGCAAGUCGAACGGCAGCACAGUAAGAGCUUGCUCUUACGGGUGGCGAGUGGCGGACGGGUGAGGAAUACAUCGGAAUCUACUUUUUCGUGGGGGAUAACGUAGGGAAACUUACGCUAAUACCGCAUACGACCUACGGGUGAAAGCAGGGGAUCUUCGGACCUUGCGCGAUUGAAUGAGCCGAUGUCGGAUUAGCUAGUUGGCGGGGUAAAGGCCCACCAAGGCGACGAUCCGUAGCUGGCCUGAGAGGAUGAUCAGCCACACUGGAACUGAGACACGGUCCAGACUCCUACGGGAGGCAGCAGUGGGGAAUAUUAGACAAUGGGCGCAAGCCUGAUCCAGCCAUACCGCGUGGGUGAAGAAGGCCUUCGGGUUGUAAAGCCCUUUUGUUGGGAAAGAAAAGCAGCAGGUUAAUACCCCGCUGUUCUGACGGUACCCAAAGAAUAAGCACCGGCUAACUUCGUG